rnacentral:lncRNA from 1 species
CUAGAAAGUGUUUUUAACAAGCGUAUUUGUAAUUAUGCAUACACAUAUAUUUAACAUGUGUAUAUUUUCUUUUUUAGAGACUUGGUCUUCGCUUUGUCACCCAGACUGGAAUGCAGUGGCUCACUGCCACCUCGAACUCCUGGACUCAAAGGGUCAUCGUGCCUCGGCCUCCUGAGUAGCUGGGAAUACAAAAACCCCAAGGAAGGCUCUGGCCUAAGCCUUGCCCUCACUCCUGUCUCUGGCUCCUGACCACGCUAGUGUCUUCCCAUGUGGCCCUGCAAGGCAUGCUAUGCUUCCUGUCUCCAGAACCUAUGGAGGGGAAAGGAAGGAGGCCUAGGAGGGAGAUGCAAUCUCUGGGAACUGCUUCAGUGGCUGGAUGUGAAGUCGGUCACAAAUGACAUGGUCAGCUCAAUUAUCUAAGGCUUGAAGGGAGCAGCUAAGCAUUUACUCAUUUGUUCCUUCAAUAACCUUUCUUUUUUCUGGGCACUUACACUCUGCCUGCAUUCUGGUAAAUGCCUCAAACACUAGGAUGAAUAAACUAUAUUAUUGCCUCAAGAAAUUUUCUAUCAUGCAGAAAGAAAUUGGUAUAUUAACAAAAUUAGGGAAAUACAGU